AACUGAGGCCAUGCCACCCUGAACGUGCUGGAUCUUGUCUGAUCUCAGAAGCUGAGCAGGGUCAGGCCUGGUUAGUACUUGGAUGGGAGACCACCUAUGAAUACCAGAUACUGUAGGCA
rnacentral:rRNA from 1 species